AAAAAUUGACAGCAUAGUUCACAGAGCCAGUGCCGUGGUGCAGCUGCCUGGAACUCGCUGCCAUCAUACGCUUUGGACAGGAGACAUGAAACACUGCCUGGAUAGCUCCUGGCUGAGGAGGUUGUGAGAAGCGCAUUUGUCUGCACAUUGUGGUGCCUGUGACACCGGGAAGAGAUGGAGGUCACAGGGGGAAGAAAAACCCUGGAUUUCCAGAACACUGCUACCCCUCUCACCAAUUGGUCGCCAGUAUGGAGACUGAUUUCAUGAAGGUCCAGCGUCUGCUGCGGGCAGUGACCUCGGUCCCUUUCUGGGUCAAACGGCAGAGUGAAGCUGCAGCCAAAUUGAGGGUAAAUAACAGUCACAGCAGGAAGUAGGGAGAAUCCUGUACAGCUGAAACGAUCCUUGAGGAUCCCUGCCAUGGUAGGUGAGAGCAGCAGGGGGGGAAUUUGGAUGACUGGGUGUAUCAUUCUCUUACAGGAAGAAAAAAAUGAAAAAAGGCGAGGACAGCAUAGAGCUAGAAGGGAGGAAAUAAACAGAUGAGGGAGUGAGGAAAAGAGUAGGGAAAGAGAAAAGGGAGGUAGAAAAAAUCCUUUUUGUCUCCAAUCAGUUACAGGUGUAAAGCUUUCUCUAUGUCUGAUCUAGUGCAACUCUAGGCUUUGGAUGGCAUUUUUAUCUCUGCUAGGUUUUUGUUAAAUGAGCACCACACUGGAACCCACUGUUUAUUAACAAAGAAAUGACUGCGUAGAGCUCAAGAAGGGAGGCACAUGGUAGGUUCUUGUCCUCUUCUCAUUCCUGCUAAGAAGUGAGGGGUGCUCCCAAGUGGAUGUUUCACUGCAGGACUAGAAGCAGCACAGGAGGAUUUUUGCAUUCUAAAUGUGAGCACCUCUUAGAAGCACAUACCAGUUCCAGGAGAAAUGUACUAACACUAAAAGCAUAUAUAUUUUAUAAUUUACCAACUAGGACAUGACUGAAUUUUAAUUUGGGUUCCUUAAAAGACACACAAAACACAAACAUUUUGAGUUAAAUGUAAGAGCUGAAGAGGGGUAUGGGUUUCGAGAUGGAAAAUAUCCUAUGGUAACUACACGGUACCUGG
rnacentral:lncRNA from 1 species